UACGUAGGGUCCGAGCGUUGUCCGGAAUUACUGGGCGUAAAGAGCUCGUAGGUGGUUUGUCACGUUGUUCGUGAAAACUCACAGCUCAACUGUGGGCGUGCGGGCGAUACGGGCAGACUAGAGUACUGCAGGGGAGACUGGAAUUCCUGGUGUAGCGGUGGAAUGCGCAGAUAUCAGGAGGAACACCGGUGGCGAAGGCGGGUCUCUGGGCAGUAACUGACGCUGAGGAGCGAAAGCGUGGGGAGCGAACAGG
rnacentral:rRNA from 1 species